rnacentral:lncRNA from 1 species
UAAAAAUGCCUUUUUCCUUUUAAGGAAUAUAACGCGUAUACAAGUUCUUUGAGUACCCUUUUAUUGCGAACUAUGCCUUUUUCCUUUUUAAGGAAUAUUUCACGCGUAUUCAAGCUCUUUGAGUAUUCUUUUAUGCACCCCUUUCUAAACCCGCUUCUUAAUUUCCCUUCCCCAGUCAUGGUUUCCCGACUUAAUUAUCCCUAAUUAAGGCCGGUCGUGACA